rnacentral:rRNA from 1 species
UUAAGAAAAUUUUUAUUUAUUAUAAAAGAAAAGCUAAUUUUUUUAUUUUUACUUUUUUAAUAAAAACAAUAAAAAUAUCUUUGGUUGGGGCAACCACGAAGAAAAAAAAACCUUCGAUUUUUACAAAAAAUAAACAAAUUUAAAAGCUAAUUUUUAAAGCUAAUAAGAUCCGGAUAACAUAAAUUAACCGAUCAAAGAAAAAAGUUACCGCAGGGAUAACAGCGUUAUUCUCUUUAAGAGCUCGUAUUGACAAGAGAGUUUGCGACCUCGAUGUUGGACCGGGGCAUCCAAGAGAUGCAGAAGUCUCUAAAGGUAGGUCUGUUCGACCUUUAAAGCCCUACGUGAUCUGAGUUCAGACCGACGUAAGU